AGAAAAUAUGAGAAGGAAAAGGAAACAAAAAGUGGAAGCAGGAGGAAACAAGCAGAAAUAAACAUGUGAACUGCAGCUUUGCAGCCAAACCAGGCAUCUUGUCUUCAUCUCAGGGAUCCAGAAAUCCACCCUGUUCUGGAGGCCACUGAAACAGAACCAUCAGAUUCCUGAAAUGGUGUUUCAAGUAUGUGAUUAACCUCAGGUCACAAGCCUUCAACAACCCCGCUGGAUGCUACUCUUCUGUUUAGAAAUGGGAUUCCAUACUGCAUCAACCCUUUGAUCCUGCUGCUCAUGUGCUACUUGUGACUGGAGAUAUAAAUAUGUCUUCAAUCCAGCAUUUUAUUUACAAGGAAAUUGGGCCAAAUUCCUCUCCUGUGAACUGAAAAAAAAAAUCCCUCUAGACUGUUUGGGGAAAAAAGGAGUGAAAAAAGGUUCCACAUUUUUAACAUUACUGUAUCUUUUGCUCGCAGUUUUGGAAAAAAAGCAAUCUGUGUGUCAUGAAAUCAAAGCAAGGGGGAAAAAAAGCCUCUUCAGCAUCUUUUCUGUGCAGCAGUGAGAAAACUCUGUCCUUGUCCCAGACAGCACAGUGUGCGCACAGAUGGAGGGCAGCAUGGCCUAAUACCAUGGUCCUUUGUUAAGCAAAAACUCCAUCAGCUCCUGGGCCAAAACCCCACCACCAGUGAGGCAGAUUUCCAAUGGCAAGCAGUAGGAAUGCAGGAGACAAAGACCUUGGCAGAGAUGGGCACUAGCUGACAGUGCUGAGGGGUUGCUCAGAUGCAGAUACAGUGCCAGGAGAGGCGGCUGAUGCCAUACAGAGCUGCACCGGUGGAUGCUGACAGCCUCCAAGUGCUCAGCCAUGCAUUGUGAACAGCAGUCUGCCUCUGGGUCACGGACCAGCAAUGACAGUGACACUUAGCAGUGGCAAUGAUUAGCCAUGCUUUUUGUCCCAGCUGUGAGAAAGGAGGUGAGGUGAGUACAGCCACUGCUGCCCACAGCUCUGGCUGCCCCAGGGGUCAUGCAGGAGCAUUCUGGUGGAUGCCUGGAGAGGUCUCACAUGCAGUGCUGUCAGGCCAGGCAGCCCAAACCUAGACCUUCUGUCCAGCACCCACAGUGGGGUAGACGAUGGCUGGGGAUGAGAAAGCAGAGCAACUCCAAGAAAGAAGGCAAUGGCAGCAUGAGGUCUCCGUUUUAUUUACAUUAUCCACAUCCACUUGGUCUGUGUCACAUGUCCUCUAGUUUUUAUAACACCUCGAUGUACAGGGGCAUCAGAAUUUAGGCAAGUAUUUUGCUUUAUCCUAUUAACUGGGAAAGGGCUUACCUUUUGCAGUAGAAAACACUCAAGUCAACAAACCAGGAGACAGUUUAAAUGGCCCUCACUCUACAGUUGGGCUUAUGAUAAACUUU